rnacentral:lncRNA from 1 species
GGAGUCCAGGGUCUGAGGGCCUGGGCACUUCUCCAAGUGUCCUGGCAUUUAAGCAGAAUGGGGUAGGGCUUAGGGCUGUGGGCACGACCCCCCCCACCCCCCACACACAGGGACAGCCCUCGGAAUAUAAAGAAGGAAAUGCUGAGGGCAGGGGCAGCCGCAGGAGGCAGGCGCCUCGGGGCCCCAGGAAGAGCAGAAACACAGUUCCCACCUCAGCAGGAAAAGAGUCUCACCCAAGCCCAGGAGCCCAUGGCCAACUGCAUGCAGCCCCACAGGAAGGCCAGCAGCACAGCACAGGGGGGGUCAUGGAAGGUGUAGAAGGAGACCAGGAGGGACCUGAUGGCCACGGGGCCCAGAGUCACAUCCCGGGAGGUGCCAGGAAGAACUAUAUGAAGCACCCCUGAAGGCAGAGUGGAGGCCAGACUGCUGGGGAGAGAGAGCGAUGAGCACCCAGGAGACACACGGCACACCCACGGUGUCCCUGGUGUAGACGUCUGAGCACGGGAUCUGUGUGUCCAUCGUGUACUUUGGGCACACCAGCGCACACAGGCAGGGUACACGCUCACCCUCCUUCAUCCAUGGGUGUGACCUCCAGUGAUCGAGGGACCUCUUUUCCACCCGCACCCAACUGGGGCCUCGGGUGCCACCUGCGGGAGCACAAAGGCCUGUGUGCCUCUGUGUGAGUGUGUGAGUCUGAGAAAGUGUUCUUAAAGCUACCGUGAGUCAUCCUGCUGUCCCACCACACAAUCCAGAACUAGGCCUGUGUCUGUGUGUGACAAGUGUGAUAAGAGCAGUUACGGCGCGUGAGUCUGCCCAAAGGCAGUCACAGGUCUGGAUUGUAAACCAAGACUUCUUGGGCCCCAUGGAGCCCUGGCUGCCCUGCUGUCUGGAGGGGAUACUGUGCAUUUCUACUCUGCUUCUAGGUGGGCGCUGACAACCGGAGUGGGGUCAGGCCAUGGGCAGGGCAUGUGGCCUGCAGCAGGGCAGACAUCUCACCUGGGGCUGGAGUCAGUCACCUCAGCACAGGCCAAUGCCUGGGGAAUGACCUUGAGCCCCACCAAGAACCUGGCCGUUGAGUCCACUUGAGCCACUGCACAGAGAGGGGGUCAGCCAGGCCCGGACGGGCAGCUUUCCCCGCAGGGCCAUAGGGGGCAGCAGAGGGCCGGCAGGGCCAUGCGCGCAGGAGCCUGAGGGCCAGGGCCGAGCCAGCACCCGCACAGUAGAGGGCACGCCUGGGGUGGGAGAGCGGGUGACACAGACCAACAGUCAGGGUCCAGGCCUCGGGAACCCAGCAAUAGCGCGAGGGUCCAGGAGCAUCACGAGAGGCACAGCCUGUCUCCCCUCCAGGGGGUCUGAGUCAGAUGGUUAAAUCCGACCCCCCCCCCCACCUUGCUGGUCUGAGAGGGGAAGCCAACAACCUGUGCAGGGGGGGCCUCAACCAAAGGUGGAUGUCCCCCCCACUGCUCAGUGCUCUCCCUGAAUCCCACCUGCCCAAACCCUCGGCGCCUUCUCUCCCUCCAUCCACGCUGGCCCGGAAGCAUAGGAUAAACGAUUUCUCGAUGAGAAGCUUAAACGCUAAUUAGACUCCAGGUUUUUCCUCCCCGGAGAAUUUGUUUGCUUUUUUUUUUCCUCCCCAGGGAAUUUAACGGGAGCAGUGCACAGAGAAGCUGGGUGGAGGGGGCACCCUCGUCUGGCUGGCGGGGCACGGGUGGGAGACUGGAGACCCUGAGGGCGGGAAGCCUUUCCAAGCGCGCGGCAUGGGGGCUCCACCCACUAAGGGGGUCUGCAGCGCUAGAGGUGGGGUCUCCCAUCCUGAGGCUGCAUCUUACCCAACCCAGACCUGUGGCAUUCGCAUCCCUGAAAAUAUCGCAGGGGUUCUAGUUGGUUCUGGAGAACUUUAGAGCCUCCUCGAUUGAUUCAGGGUGGCAGCAUCCUCUAGGAUCCUGGCGCCCCCUGCUGCAGAGCCGGCCCCAGACCACCCCUCAUCACGGGCCCCGCGAGCCUCUCAGGGCAGAAACGACCCCACCCCCGAAGCCGCUUGCCUGGAACUCUGGGGUCUAAGCGUGGCGACUCCACGCCAGCUAACGGUCCGAGGCCUGCCGGCCCCAGCAAGGCCGAGGGCGGCGGGGACCCCGGUGGGGACGCCGUGGGUGGCGAAUGGGGGUCCCCGAUGGAGACGCCCGCACCCUCGGACCCCGCAUCGCCCCUCGCGUCCGCCGCCCCCGGCCCGUCCCCGGCAGCUCGCCCACCCCGGCCCCGGGCCCGCCGCGGACUCACCUGACGCCGCAGCUCGGGGUCUCCGGUUCUCGCCGCCGCAGCCGGCUCGGCAGGAACCACAGAGGAGGGGGAGCGAGGGGCGGGGCCGGGCGAGGGGCGGGGCCUGCGCGCACGCGUCCUCGGGGCGGGGCGGGGCGGGCUCCGCAGCUGGGCCGGCGCUCUGUCCCGCGCACCUGGCGCUCCCGGAACGUGCUGCGCGUCGUCGGUGAGUGCGACCCACCGAACCCCCGCCGCCUCGGGCACCGCUUUCCACGGCCGCUUGUUGUCCCCCCAGAAGCAGCCACUCGCCUCCCUCCAGCGGUCGGUGCCGACCCCAGCGUGCCCUGCAGCCCCCGGCCGUUCCCUCCUCGUCUCCCCUCCCUUCUGCCCCCAGACUCUUCAUGGUCCGCUCCUGGGAGAGGGAGGCAGGGUUGGCGUCGCUCACCGCGAGGUCUGCGGGGGUCGGCCAGCAUUCGGCACCCCACUCCUGCACUCGGCUCUGACCCUGCACCCCCACCCGUGCCAAGAGCAGCCUGGGCUAACUCUGCGGGCCCCCAGCUCGGGAGGAUGGGCGCCUUUCCAGAGCUCAGGGAUCCACAGAUCCCAGAGAGGACGCCAGAAGGGGGCUGGUGCCCAAGUCCCCAGAGACCAGCCAGCGUGCCCUGGGGCUCUCAUCUCCUCCUCACGCUUUUCUCAGACCGCAGAGCACUGUGGCUCGGCUCUCCUUCUCCUGGCUGAAGGGCUCAGCCCCCCACAUCCACCUGCCCUCUCCCCCAAACCCAUCCCCUCCCAGGAACCCCAGGUGCCUCCAGCGCCCUGCUGGUCAGGAGACUUCCAGUCGUCUCCAGGGCCCAUGUGGCCAAGGAAGCAGUUAUCCACAUGCCACACAGUAGGGCUGACUCUUCACUUAGGAGCUGCCUUUGUGCUGCCAGUAGAGGCAGUAACCGUGGUCUUCAAGAAAAUAUUCUCCCCCUGAGCGCUGAGAACAUCCAGCACCAAGAGGAGAGGAGAUGCCAAAGCGGGACUGAAAGAACUAAAGGCUCAGAUGGAGGAAUCUCUUCUGGGCCCUCCAAGUAGGACCCCUUCCCUGGAGGGGGGGAGAUUCUGCCAAAGAGCACCAGGGACAGAGGCCUUGCACUACAACUGCUGAGCCCUUCGCCCUUGUUUGGUUGGCUGUAUAGGUCUUUGCUUUCAGCCUUCUGCAUAUUGCAUGAUCCAGUUGAAGAAAAUAUAUCAUUCUGUCAAUGCAGAUCAUACCAGGAAGCACAAACUGUGCUAAGUGAGCAGUUGGGGUAUCUCCAUCUGCACAGCACUAGGAGGUGUGGGACACUAUUCCAUCCACGUGACCCACAGGGGAAGCCCAGGAGGUGGGCCCUGGUCCCAACCAGACAAGUGGUGGCACCAGGACUGGAGGAGGCCCUGUGUGACAAGCAUGGUGCUGGCAACCAUAGCUCUGACCUAGUGUCCCUGGACCAACAGCGGGUAUCUCUGAGGAGCUUGGAAUCCAGUGCAUUCUAGAGCCAUGGACUGAGAUGCCAAGCUUUAUUGGGGGGUAGGGGGUGGGGGGACUCAGAAUUGUCCUAAUUCUUGGGACCUUCUAAGAAGGAAGUGUGUUUGAUAACCAUGGCAGAGAAGAGGAUUCCCAGUUACCCCAGGCAUUUUGUGGGUUCCUAGGCAAGAGCUCCUCAAGGGCUGGGUGGCCAGAGCAUUCCAAGGAUGUCAGAGGCCUGUAGACAGGAAAUGCCCAAAGGCAGAGGUGAGGGGACAGUGGCCUCCAACAGAGGUCAACAACCUGGAGAGAAGCCAGAGAAGCAGCAGAACCCACAGAAGGUGGCCUGAGGUUCCCAGCAUCAGCUUUCUCAUGUGUCCCCAAAAGCUCACACCCAAUGUAAACACGUGGCAAAACACACGCACACUCACUCACAGAGCAACGACAAAACAAAAACCAUUAGCCAGCAGCAACAGGAGCCAAGCAACAGACAGUAAAGACCCUGGGCCUGGCCAGUGUUGUUCCUCCCCUGAGUCUGUGGCAGGCCUCAUGAAGGGAGCAGGAGAGAACUCAGUGCCCACAGCACUAGAUCAGCAGAAGAGCUAGAGUGGCCAAUUUGGAAGGAAAGAAAGAUUAGGAGAACAGCUCGGGAUUAAGACAGCUCUCAGGAAAUCCCAAACAGGACACAGCCCAUGCACCAGGACUCGGGGUCACAUAUGACACAGUCAGACCCUCAAAGUUGGAAAAAUGAUGGGGAUGACAAACGAUGAAGUACGAUUCAGCAACCUUACCCUGAGGAAGCACCUCCAUUUGGGGGCUAUCUGUGGCACAGCGCAUGAAACAUCGUUCCCUGCUGCCCUGGCAUAGCCUUAUAGCCUUACACAGUCCACUCCCAGUCUCUAGGACCCCCUCCCCCAGUCCCUGGGGUCCUCUGCAAAGAAGUUGCUCUCAAAUUCAGGCAACCAUCCUGGACUCCAUCCCUGUGGCUCAGGAAGUCAUAGAGUCUGUGACCAACGGGAGUCUGAACAGCAGCCCCUGGGCCUGUCUCAUCUGCAUAAGACCCGCCCCCUGGCCUGGUGUCAUUCACUGCUACUUCCUUCUGACCCACGCACCGCCUCCUGCCCGCACUUUUCCCCUCCCACUCCACCCUGCCGGCCAAUGGCAGGACAGGAAACUGAGCAGGAAGUGACGUCAUCACCCUCCCGGUUUAGGCCGCGGGGUGCUAGGCCUCAUGCCUGGGGAUGGCGCUUCAUCCGGAGACCACUUUAGAACAAGAGCGCUUGAGGACUAAAACUACCAUAGAAGGAACAAGAGCAACAGCAAAAGAUUUUCAGGCUCAGGCCAAGGAUGUGAUUUAGAAAUGGGAGCAAGAUUUUGAGGGGAUAAAAGGAGAAGAAAGAUGAACUCAGAAGGUGUGUCUGAGGAGAAGAAAAUCACAGAGGUCUUCAGACAGAAAUGACCCAGAUGAGGGUUGAGAUCCCCAGUGAUUACAGCAGAGAAAACCUAAAGGACAGUGGAGGCACUCUAGAAGCCCCGACUGCGGAAGCAGGGUCCUCUUUGUGGCCCACGUCAGGUGAGAACCCUUCCUGGAAAGGGGGACACUUCCCACACAAAGGACACCUUGGACAAGGGACUUACCGUGCUCCAGCUGAGUCAUUCUUGCUGCCCCUAGAGCUUUUGGAGGUUUCCAUCCUAGAUUGUUUGUUUAAUGGUGGGGCUCUUUCCUUGCAUGAGAUUGUCCUUGGAAUUUUUUUCUGAAAUGCAGUUUUUUGGGCCUUAACCACAGACGUUUUCAACAAGCGCCACACUGUCUCCGAUGUGGAU